rnacentral:rRNA from 1 species
UGGGGAAUAUUGCACAAUGGGCGCAAGCCUGAUGCAGCAACGCCGCGUGAGGGAUGACGGCCUUCGGGUUGUAAACCUCUUUUAGCAGGGAAGAAGCGAAAGUGACGGUACCUGCAGAAAAAGCACCGGCUAACUACGUGCCAGCAGCCGCGGUAAUACGUAGGGUGCAAGCGUUGUCCGGAAUUAUUGGGCGUAAAGAGCUCGUAGGCGGUCUGUCGCGUCUGCUGUGAAAUCCCGAGGCUCAACCUCGGGCCUGCAGUGGGUACGGGCAGACUAGAGUGCGGUAGGGGAGAAUGGAACUCCUGGUGUAGCGGUGGAAUGCGCAGAUAUCAGGAAGAACACCGAUGGCGAAGGCAGUUCUCUGGGCCGUAACUGACGCUGAGGAGCGAAAGCGUGGGGAGCGAACAGGAUUAGAUACCCUGGUAGUCCACGCCGUAAACGUUGGGCGCUAGAUGUGGGGACCAUUCCACGGUUUCCGUGUCGCAGCUAACGCAUAAGCGCCCCGCCUGGGGAGUACGGCCGCAA